rnacentral:tRNA from 1 species
CGGAAAGUAGCUCAGCUUGGUAGAGCAUCGUCUUGAUAAGGCGGGUGUCAGAGGUUCAAGUCCUGUCUUUCCGA